rnacentral:rRNA from 1 species
AUUGAACGCUGGCGGCAGGCCUACUACAUGCAAGUCGGGCGAGCGGCAGAUGGGCGAGUUAUGUAUGGGGAUCUGCAUGAUGGCGGGGGAGAACUACUGGAAACGGUAGCUAAUACCGCAUCCUAUCCGAUGAACCCAUAUGGGUUUAGCUAGUCUGUGUGGCAACGGCUUACCUAGGUGACGAUCCCUAGCUGGUCUGAGAGGACGCUCGGCACCACGGGGACUGAGACACGGCCCAGACUCGUACGGGAGGCAGAGGUGGGGAGUAUUGCCCAAUGGGGGAAAGCCUGAUGCAGCCAUGCGGCGUGUAUGAAGAAGGCCUUGGGGUUGUAAAGUACUUUCAGUCGGGAGGCGGUACCGACAGAGGAAGCACCGGCUAACUCCGUGCCAGCAGCCGCGGUAAUUC